GGUCGGACAUCAGGAGGUUAGUGCAAUGGCAUAAGCCAGCUUGACUGCGAGCGUGACGGCGCGAGCAGGUGCGAAAGCAGGUCAUAGUGAUCCGGUGGUUCUGAAUGGAAGGGCCAUCGCUCAACGGAUAAAAGGUACUCCGGGGAUAACAGGCUGAUACCGCCCAAGAGUUCAUAUCGACGGCGGUGUUUGGCACCUCGAUGUCGGCUCAUCACAUCCUGGGGCUGAAGUAGGUCCCAAGGGUAUGGCUGUUCGCCAUUUAAAGUGGUACGCGAGCUGGGUUUAGAACGUCGUGAGACAGUUCGGUCCCUAUCUGCCGUGGGCGCUGGAGAAUUGAGGGGGGCUGCUCCUAGUACGAGAGGACCGGAGUGGACGCAUCACUGGUGUUCGGGUUGUCAUGCCAAUGGCACUGCCCGGUAGCUAAAUGCGGAAGAGAUAAGUGCUGAAAGCAUCUAAGCACGAAACUUGCCCCGAGAUGAGUUCUCCCUGACUCCUUGAGAGUCCUGAAGGAACGUUGAAGACGACGACGUUGAUAGGCCGGGUGUGUAAGCGCAGCGAUGCGUUGAGCUAACCGGUACUAAUGAACCGUGAGGCUUAACCUUACAACGCCGAAG
rnacentral:rRNA from 1 species